UGGGGAGGAUAGGGAGAAAGGGUGCUGCACGUCCCCUGGGUCUUAAUUCUUCUCUCUGUCUUUCUCAGG
ensembl:miRNA gga-mir-12283 gga-mir-12283